UACAGAGGUCUCAAGCGUUGUUCGGAUUCAUUGGGCGUAAAGGGUGCGUAGGUGGCGUGGUAAGUCGGGGUGUGAAAUUUCGGAGCUUAACUCCGAAACUGCAUUCGAUACUGCUGUGCUUGAGGACUGGAGAGGAGACUGGAAUUUACGGUGUAGCAGUGAAAUGCGUAGAGAUCGUAAGGAAGACCAGUGGCGAAGGCGGGUCUCUGGACAGUUCCUGACACUGAGGCACGAAGGCCAGGGGAGCAAACGGG
rnacentral:rRNA from 1 species